GUCUACAGCCAUGCUACCCUGAACAAGCCUGAUCCCAUCUGAUCUCAGAAGCUAAGCAGGGUCGGGCCUGGUUAGUACUUGUAUGGGAGACCACCUAGGAAGACCAGCUGCUGCAGGUG
rnacentral:rRNA from 1 species